UGCAGUCGAGCGGUAGCACAGAAGAGCUUGCUCUUUGGGUGACGAGCGGCGGACGGGUGAGUAAUGUCUGGGAAACUGCCUGAUGGAGGGGGAUAACUACUGGAAACGGUAGCUAAUACCGCAUAACCUCGCAAGAGCAAAGAGGGGGACCUUCGGGCCUCUCGCCAUCAGAUGUGCCCAGAUGGGAUUAGCUAGUAGGUGAGGUAAUGGCUCACCUAGGCGACGAUCCCUAGCUGGUCUGAGAGGAUGACCAGCCACACUGGAACUGAGACACGGUCCAGACUCCUACGGGAGGCAGCAGUGGGGAAUAUUGCACAAUGGGCGCAAGCCUGAUGCAGCCAUGCCGCGUGUGUGAAGAAGGCCUUCGGGUUGUAAAGCACUUUCAGCGGGGAGGAAGGCGGUAAGGUUAAUAACCUUAUCGAUUGACGUUACCCGCAGAAGAAGCACCGGCUAACUCCGUGCCAGCAGCCGCGGUAAUACGGAGGGUGCAAGCGUUAAUCGGAAUGACUGGGCGUAAAGCGCACGCAGGCGGUCUGUUAAGUUGGAUGUGAAAUCCCCGGGCUUAACCUGGGAACUGCAUUCAAAACUGACAGGCUAGAGUCUUGUAGAGGGGGGUAGAAUUCCAGGUGUAGCGGUGAAAUGCGUAGAGAUCUGGAGGAAUACCGGUGGCGAAGGCGGCCCCCUGGACAAAGACUGACGCUCAGGUGCGAAAGCGUGGGGAGCAAACAGGAUUAGAUACCCUGGUAGUCCACGCUGUAAACGAUGUCGAUUUGGAGGUUGUGCCCUUGAGGCGUGGCUUCCGGAGCUAACGCGUUAAAUCGACCGCCUGGGGAGUACGGCCGCAAGGUUAAAACUCAAAUGAAUUGACGGGGGCCCGCACAAGCGGUGGAGCAUGUGGUUUAAUUCGAUGCAACGCGAAGAACCUUACCUACUCUUGACAUCCAGAGAACUUAGCAGAGAUGCUUUGGUGCCUUCGGGAACUCUGAGACAGGUGCUGCAUGGCUGUCGUCAGCUCGUGUUGUGAAAUGUUGGGUUAAGUCCCGCAACGAGCGCAACCCUUAUCCUUUGUUGCCAGCGAUUCGGUCGGGAACUCAAAGGAGACUGCCGGUGAUAAACCGGAGGAAGGUGGGGAUGACGUCAGUCAUCAUGGCCCUUACGAGUAGGGCUACACACGUGCUACAAUGGCGUAUACAAAGAGAAGCGA
rnacentral:rRNA from 1 species